rnacentral:rRNA from 1 species
CCUACGGGUGGCAGCAGUGAGGAAUAUUGGUCAAUGGGCGCGAGCCUGAACCAGCCAAGUAGCGUGAAGGAUGACUGCCCUACGGGUUGUAAACUUCUUUUAUAAAGGAAUACAGUGAGGCACGUGUGCCUUUUUGUAUGUACUUUAUGAAUAAGGAGCGGCUAACUCCGUGCCAGCAGCCGCGGUAAUACGGAGGAUCCGAGCGUUAUCCGGAUUUAUUGGGUUUAAAGGGAGCGUAGAUGGGUUGUUAAGUCAGUUGUGAAAGUUUGCGGCUCAACCGUAAAAUUGCAAUUGAUACUGGCGGUCUUGAGUACAGUUGAGGUAGGCGGAAUUCGUGGUGUAGCGGUGAAAUGCUUAGAUAUCACGAAGAACUCCGAUUGCGAAGGCAGCUUACUAAACUGCCACUGACAUUGAUGCUCGAAAGUGUGGGUAUCAAACAGGAUUAGAUACACUUGUAGUC